rnacentral:rRNA from 1 species
GAUGAACGCUGGCGGUAUGCUUAACACAUGCAAGUCGAACGGACUCUUCGGAGUUAGUGGCGGACGGGUGAGUAACGCGUGAGAAUCUGGCUUUGGGUUCGGGACAACUACUGGAAACGGUGGCUAAUACCGGAUGUGCCGAGAGGUAAAAGAGAAAUUGCCUGAAGAUGAGUUCGCGUCUGAUUAGCUAGUUGGUGAGGUAAAGGCUCACCAAGGCAGCGCUCAGUAGCUGGUCUGAGAGGAUGACCAGCCACACUUGGACUGAGACACGGCCCAGACUCCUACGGGAGGAAGCGGGGGGGAAUUGUCCGCAAUGGGCGAAAGCCUGACGGAGCAAUACCGCGUGAGGGAAGAAGGCUCUUGGGUUGUAAACCUCUUUUCUUAGGGAAGAACAAAAUGACGGUACCUAAGGAAUCAGCAUCGGCUAACUCCGUG